CCAACGAGCGCAACCCCUAUCUUUAGUUUGCCAUCAGUUCGGCUGGGCACUCUAUGGAGACUGCCACCUAAAGUGGAGGAAGGUGGGGAUGACGUCAAGUCAGCAUGGCCCUUACGUCCGGGGCUACACACGUGCUACAAUGGCCGGUACAAAGGGUUGCGAAGCCGUGAGGUGGAGCGAAUCUCAAAAAGCCGGCCUCAGUUCGGAUUGGAGGCUGCAACUCGCCUCCAUGAAGUCGGAAUCGCUAGUAACCGCAGAUCAGCUACGUUGCGGUGAAUACGUUCCCGGGCCUU
rnacentral:rRNA from 1 species